AUAGCCCCCAUAUAUCAGUACCUCCCUAUAUUCGGUAUUUUCAUGAUUUUAGUGACAUUAUUCACCGGAAUUGUUUGAAAAUUGGUAUUUGAAGUUCGUAAUGAAUACUACAGUCUAAGAUAGAAAAUUGUCUGUGCAAGUCCAUGUCUUCGUAUAGCCCCCAUAUAACGGUACCUCCUGAUAUUCGGUAUUUUGGUGAUUUUAACGACAUUAUUCACGGGAAUUGUUACAAAUUUGGUACUUGAAGCUCAAAAUGGAUACUACACCCUAAGGCAGAAAAUUGCCUGUGCAGGUCCACGUCUUCGUAUAGCCCCCAUAUAACUGUACCUCCCUAUAUUCGGUAUUUUGAUGAUUUUAGCGACAUUAGUCACCGGAAUUGUUUCGAAAUUAGUGUUUGAAGUUCGUAAUGAAUACUACAGUCUGUGACAGAAAAUUGUCUGUGCGGGUCCAGGUCUUCGUAUAGGCCCCAUAUAUCAGUACCUCCCCAUAUUCGGUAUUUUGACUGAUUUUAGGUACAAUACCCACCGAAAUUGUUUGAAAUGUGGUAUUUGAAGUUUUGAAGAAAUUGUAAUAAAAAUAUGAUGUAAACAAACGUGAAAAUUUUGUUUUAAGAUUUGCUCCCAAUCUUUCAAUUGACUUGCAGAGCGAAUUGUCUGCAAAAAUCUUACAAAUAAUUAACACUUAAAGCUAAAAUAAAUAAAAAACAUAUCGUUAAAUUGUUGACUUACGAUGAACUUAAAAUAAACAAAAUAAAGUAUUGUCUUGGUGAAAAAGUUUGGUGUUGAAUAUUGCCCAGAAUCAUUGUCAAAUCUUACAUUUAUGAUACCUAUAGUAGAAAGGUUUAGGGCAUAGCUGCAAAAUGGCACAAUAUUGGCGGUGCUGUAAAUGUGGUGGUUAGAGAACCUUUUAGUUGGAUUUUGAAAGUUUUGACCAACACAUUUUCUUAGAAUCUUCCUCUCAAACGUCUCAAUUUCUUUAGCUACAUAUGGCGAAAUGGUGAACCAAAUUGGGAAUCCAUAUCCAAUAAUUGGCCGGAUUGCAACUUUAUAAAGUAGCAGCUUAGUAUUUUGCGGCAGAUAAGUAUUGCACAUUAAUGUGGACAAACGUCCAGCAGUUAUCUUGGCCUUUUUCAAUGAUGCUCUGACGUGUUCAUUAAAUUUAAAUAAUUUAUUUAUAUGUAUUCCCAAAUAUUUGAAGGAAUCUCGGAAUGGAAUUUCUAUGCCAUCCAGUAAGAGACGCAGAUUCUUCGCUUCGGGAACAACGCUUCUAUGACAUUUCCCAGAUGCGUUUCUAAUACAUACUGCUUCCGAUUUAGAUGCGUUUACUGUGAUUCCCCAUGUUUUAUAAUAUUUACUUAUAUCGCCAAGGUGAAGAGCGGCUUGCUUUAAGGCUUCAGUGGGUAAAAGGAUUUGCUGAUUUUUUACUUCAAUUGUUUUGCAGUGCUGUUUGUGUAUGUUAUGAAAGGUGGUAAAAUGGAUUCCAAUGCAGAAUCAAACUGUCGACGAAACAUACUCCAAUCCGUGGACUUAUAAGAAACAACCACUCUGGGAGUUUUGAGGACAAUACCACCUGUAUUGAACGAAAUAUCCAAUUUGAGAGGGUAAUGGUCAAAAAAUGA